rnacentral:rRNA from 1 species
GACGAACGCUGGCGGCGCGCCUAACACAUGCAAGUCGAACGAAGUUUCAUAACGGAAGUUUUCGGAUGGAAGAUAUGAAACUUAGUGGCGGACGGGUGAGUAACGCGUGAGCAAUCUGCCUUUAGGAGGGGGAUAACAGUCGGAAACGGCUGCUAAUACCGCAUAAUGCAUCAAUUUCGCAUGUUAUUGAUGCCAAAGGAGCAAUCCGCCUUUAGAUGAGCUCGCGUCUGAUUAGCUAGUUGGCGGGGUAACGGCCUACCAAGGCGACGAUCAGUAGCCGACCUGAGAGGGUGAUCGGCCACAUUGGAACUGAGACACGGUCCAA